rnacentral:rRNA from 1 species
AGUGAACGCUGGCGGUAGGCCUAACACAUGCAAGUCGAACGGCAGCACAGGAGAGCUUGCUCUCUGGGUGGCGAGUGGCGGACGGGUGAGGAAUACAUCGGAAUCUGCCCAGUCGUGGGGGAUAACGUAGGGAAACUUACGCUAAUACCGCAUACGACCUUCGGGUGAAAGAGGGGGAUCGCAAGACCUCUCGCGAUUGGAUGAGCCGAUGUCGGAUUAGCUAGUUGGCGGGGUAAUGGCCCACCAAGGCGACGAUCCGUAGCUGGUCUGAGAGGAUGAUCAGCCACACUGGAACUGAGACACGGUCCAGACUCCUACGGGAGGCAGCAGUGGGGAAUAUUGGACAAUGGGCGCAAGCCUGAUCCAGCCAUACCGCGUGGGUAAGAAGGCCUUCGGGUUGUGAAGCCCUUUUGUUGGGAAAGAAAUCUUUCAGGCUAAUACCCUGGGAGGAUGACGGUACCCAAAGAAUAAGCACCGGCUAACUUCGUG